AUACGGAGGGUGCGAGCGUUGUCCGGAUUUAUUGGGUUUAAAGGGUGCGUAGGUGGCUAUUUAAGUCAGUGGUGAAAUACAGCCGCUCAACGGUUGAGGUGCCAUUGAUACUGAAUAGCUUGAAAGAAUUGGAGGCUGCCGGAAUGGAUGGUGUAGCGGUGAAAUGCAUAGAUAUCAUCCAGAACACCGAUUGCGAAGGCAGGUGGCUACGAUUUAUUUGACACUGAGGCACGAAAGCAUGGGGAGCAAACAGGAUUAGAUACCCUGGUAGUCCAUGCCGUAAACGAUGAGGACUCGCUGUUGGCCUGUCACGGGUCAGCGGCUUAGGGAAACCGUUAAGUCCUCCACCUGGGGAGUACGCCGGCAACGGUGAA
rnacentral:rRNA from 1 species